UACGUAGGGGGCAAGCGUUGUCCGGAUUUAUUGGGCGUAAAGAGCGUGUAGGCGGCCGUACAGGUCAGCUGUGAAAACUCGAGGCUCAACCUCGAGACGUCGGUUGAAACCGUAGGGCUAGAGUCCGGAAGAGGAGAGUGGAAUUCCCGGUGUAGCGGUGAAAUGCGCAGAUAUCGGGAAGAACACCCGUGGCGAAGGCGGCUCUCUGGGACGGUACUGACGCUGAGACGCGAAAGCGUGGGGAGCGAACAGG
rnacentral:rRNA from 1 species